UACGAAGGGGGCUAGCGUUGCUCGGAAUCACUGGGCGUAAAGCGCACGUAGGCGGCUUUCUAAGUCAGGGGUGAAAUCCUGGAGCUCAACUCCAGAACUGCCUUUGAUACUGGGGAGCUCGAGUCCGGAAGAGGUGAGUGGAACUCCGAGUGUAGAGGUGAAAUUCGUAGAUAUUCGGAAGAACACCAGUGGCGAAGGCGACACACUGGGCCAUUACUGACGCUGAGGCGCGAAAGCGUGGGAAGCGAACAGG
rnacentral:rRNA from 1 species